rnacentral:rRNA from 1 species
UACGUAGGGUGCAAGCGUUGUCCGGAAUUAUUGGGCGUAAAGGGCUCGUAGGCGGUUUGUCGCGUCUGCUGUGAAAACUGGAGGCUCAACCUCCAGCCUGCAGUGGGUACGGGCAGACUAGAGUGCGGUAGGGGAGAUUGGAAUUCCUGGUGUAGCGGUGGAAUGCGCAGAUAUCAGGAGGAACACCGAUGGCGAAGGCAGAUCUCUGGGCCGUAACUGACGCUGAGGAGCGAAAGCAUGGGGAGCGAACAGG